GAUGAACGCUAGCUACAGGCUUAACACAUGCAAGUCGAGGGGAAACGAUAGGGAAAGCUUGCUUUUUCUAGGCGUCGACCGGCGCACGGGUGAGUAACGCGUAUCCAACCUGCCCAUCACUUGGGGAUAACCUUGCGAAAGUAAGACUAAUACCCAAUGAUAUCUCUAGAAGACAUCUGAAAGGGAUUAAAGAUUUAUCGGUGAUGGAUGGGGAUGCGUCUGAUUAGCUUGUUGGCGGGGUAACGGCCCACCAAGUCGACGAUCAGUAGGGGUUCUGAGAGGAAGGUCCCCCACAUUGGAACUGAGACACGGUCCAAACUCCUACGGGAGGCAGCAGUGAGGAAUAUUGGUCAAUGGGCGAGAGCCUGAACCAGCCAAGUAGCGUGCAGGAUGACGGCCCUAUGGGUUGUAAACUGCUUUUAUAAGGGAAUAAAGUGAGUCUCGUGAGACUUUUUGCAUGUACCUUAUGAAUAAGGACCGGCUAAUACCGUGCCAGCCGCCGCAGUAA
rnacentral:rRNA from 1 species